GUGAAGCUGCCAGUAUGGGAUUAAGCNCACGUAUGACNCGUGUCGUCGGCCAAAUAGGCGACUGUCGGGUGUGCACACUGCGUGUGACUGUCNACGCUCGUCGGCCGGACGCGUGGUGUUUGGCGUGCCUCGGCAGAACGCUUCCCUUUGGUCGACAUGGACAGGUCGAGGCUUCGUUGUCCAUGGUCUUAUUGCCGGCCGGUAAUUCGCAGAGCCGUGUCGAGCUGUAGCCUGCCUCACGGUCGUGCUGCGGUGCUCCGUCGACUAUGCGCUCUCUACUGUAGCGACNACGGUCGGCUUGGUCUACGAUGCAAUAUGCCGGCCGAUGGCGAACGACCGGGCGACGGCCAGCGCAAAUUCGAA
rnacentral:rRNA from 1 species